rnacentral:rRNA from 1 species
UGACGGGGGGAGCAAGCGUUGUUCGGAUUUACUGGGCGUAAAGGGCGCGUAGGCGGCGCAACAAGUCACUUGUGAAAUCUCCGGGCUUAACCCGGAGCGGCCAAGUGAUACUGUCGUGCUAGAGUGCGGAAGGGGCUACUGGAAUUCUCGGUGUAGCGGUGAAAUGCGCAGAUAUCAGGAAGAACACCAAUGGCGAAGGCAGCUCUCUGGGACGGUACUGACGCUGAGACGCGAAAGCGUGGGGAGCGAACAGG